AAAAAUAAUAAUAAUAAAAUAAAAUAAAUAGACUUUCAAUUCGCACCAACAUUACCUUCAUAUCCGAUUAACAUUAUUCUAACCUCAUACCAAAUGUGUUCUUUUACAAAUUCUCUUUUUUCAUUAUCUAUCAUCAAAAAAUGAUUAUAUAAAUCACUGUCUACAGCGGGCAUAUUUCCAAAUAUAUUUUGCAAAUAGCUGAUUAGGUUACUGGUAACAACUUAACUUCUGUGUUACUUUGGAUCGUAUAAAAUCUAUUGUUCAACGGAACUUAGUUGUCUCAAUUUUGGGCAUCAAUCAAGUCCUUUCAAACAAAGUUGUAGAUACAGUCAUAAUAUCUCGUCGCAAAAAGAUCAAUAUAUAGCAUAUGAAUAGAGGACUUGCAAGCAACAAUAUAUUUUUCUGUUAAAAUUGACUUCACCAGAGGAAAAGUAGAACAACUCAUGUCACUAACCCCACAGCUCUUCAUUUCACGACCUGAUCUUAAAUGCUACAAGCUAUAGAUAAAGAUAUUUGACUUUUCUUCUUUACCAAAUACCACAGUUACAUAGUAACAAUACCAUAAGAAUUAAGGACUUGCAAGAAACAAUAUAUUUUUUCCAUUAAAAUUGACUUCACCAAAGGAAAAGUAUAACACCUCAAUUAACUUCUGUGUUACUUUGAAUCAAUUAAAACCUACUGUUUAAGAAAAACUUAGUUAUCUCAAUUUUGAGCAUCAACCAAGUCCUUUCAGACAAAACUGUAGACACAGGCAUCAUCAACUCCUUUAGAUAAAAUUGUAGACCACUAAUAACCGUGGGAUGGUUAGACAAUAAUAUUUAUAACUCAAUGAAACAAUAAUAUUUUCUGUACAAAUGUUUAAGUCAAAAUUAUUUGAUCAACAUAGUUUCCACUCGAACAUAUUGUGCAAAGGACAACAGCCCUGCGUAAGUGUAGCAAUUUUGGGAAUUCCAACAACUUGUUUAACCGUUACAAUUUGUACCCUUGCAAGAAUAUCUUGGUCCGAGCAUUUGCUCAUAAAUUCAUAAAUUCAAUUAAGUAUUACAAAUAUUUAAAAAUGAAAAAUUCAUAAAUUGUACAAUACUCGGAGGACAUGACAACAGCCAGAUGCUCGCUAACAAGAUCAUUCUAAAAGGAUAUGACCGAUCAAGAUUGUAGAGUAAAAUUUUCGAAGAUUACAAUUUACAUGUUUUGAAUAUUUGUAAGGGGUUCAAAAUCAGUUAAUCAUUUGAAUCUCUAUGAAAUACAAAAAUAAAGAAAUUACAAAUAUGCAAUUAUAAUUACUUUACAGAUCAUAAUAUAUCUCGUCACAAAAAAAAAGCAAUAUAUAACAUCCUGUAUAUGAUAUUUUGUGGAACUGCAAAUUCUAAAAUUUGAAAAAUUUUCGUCAUUACUUAGUUAAUUGUGGUUCUAUGCAAUAAGAUUGCAUAUUCUACAACAAACAGCAGCUGAGAACUCUUCAAAUUAAUUAUAUGCAAUGGUAUUGCAUAUUCUCACUAAAGCGUGUUCCGUUAUUCUUGCACAUUCUAAUAAAUUUAAAGAUCUUGAUUUAUUUUGACCUUGUUCGAUUCUUAUUUUUUCCAAAAUACAUUUUUCUCUACUUUUUUUCAACCGCACAUUUUAAAUAAAAAAUAUUACAUGCAAAUUCAAAUAUUUUCCUUAUUUUUUAACCACACAUUCUUCAUCAAUCUAUUAUUUGAAAGUGCAUUUUUUUUUUCUAUUUUUUGGGGCUCAUACAAGUCCUUUAUAUUAUCUAGAAAUAAACUGUCAAUUACACAAAUAAUCCCAUUGCUUCUGAACAUUCUCCAGAUCAAUUACCAUGCAGCUUAAAUACUACAAAGCUAUAAAGAAAGAAUAAAUGACCCCUAGAAAUACUGAAAAGGCGUUUGAGAAAAUUGAGGAAGAAACAGAAGAUACAAAAGAGUGAUAUAAAUAAGAACAACAAUCUUGACCAACAAAAUUAAGAAACAAAAUGCAAAAUGAUAGUAAAGGAAAAUGAUAUACCACCAGGAAAUUAACAGUGCUCUAAGAUCCAAGAAGCAAAAGAUACUAAAUAUAAAUAAGACCAACAAUCUGGACCAACAAAAUUAAGAAUCAAAAUGCAAAAUGACAGUAAAGAAAAAAAUAUACCAGCAGGAAAUUAACAGUGCUCUAGGAUCCAAUAAUAGUGAGAAUAGGAUUCCUUUUCAAUAUCAUAAAUGACCCCUAGAAAUACUGAAAAGGCAUUUGAGAAAAUUGAGGAAGAAACAGAAGAUACAAAAGAGUGAAAUAAAUAAGAACAACAAUCUUGACCAACAAAAUUAAGAAACAAAAUGCAAAAUGAUAGUAAAGGAAAAAGAUAUACCACCAGGAAAUUAACAGUGCUCUAAAAUCUAAGAAGCAAAAGAUACUAAAUAUAAGUAAGACCAACAAUCUGGACCAACAAAAUUAAGAAUCAAAAUGCAAAAUGACAGUAAAGAAAAAGAUAUUCCAGAAGGAAAUUAACAGUGCUCUAAGAUCCAAUAAUAGUGAGAAUAGGAUACCUUUUCAAUAUCUUCUUUACUAAAUACCAAUAAAGCUAAGAAACAAAAUGCAAAAACGAUAGUAAAGAAACAGAUAUACCAGCAGCAAAUUAACAGUGCUCUAAGAUCCAAUAAUAGUAAGGAUAGAAUUCCUUUUCAAUAUCUUCUUUACCAAUACAACAGUUACAUAGUAAAAAUACCAUCUGAACUGAGGACUUGCAAGAAACAAUAUAUUUUUUCCCGUUAAAAUUGACUUCACCAGAGGAAAAGUAGAACAUCUCAUGUCAAUAACCCCAAAACUUUUCAUUUCACGACCUGAGCUUAAAAGCUGCAAGCUAUAGAUAAAGAUUAAAUGACUUCUUUACAAAAUACCACAGUUACACAGUAACAAUACCAUCAGAAUUGAGGAAUUGCAAGAAACAGCAUAUUUUUUCCUUUAACAUUGACUUUACCAGAGGAAAAGUAUCACACCUCAUCUCACUAACCCCACAACUUUUCAUUUCACGACCUAAGCUAAAAAGCUGCAAGCUAUAGAUAAAGAUUAAACGACUUUUGUAAUAGAGUACAUGAAUUUAAGAAAAGAAGGGCACGAAACUAAUAAUACAGGAUAAAAUGAAAGAAAACAAAAUAAACAAACAUGGACAUAAGGAAAGAUGAAACGGGUGAAACAAAAAUAAAAAUAACAUUCUAAAAUCACGAACAAAUUGAGCCUAUAAGAGCAGAACAGACAUUAUUAAAACACAGCAUUCUCUUAGAAGAUACAUACAAGGAUUUUCCAGGGUCUUUUCCAUAUCAUGAAUUCUCCUCUCCUUUAAUAAAAAAGUAUUGAUCCUCGUGAAAAAAAAAAAUAAUAAUAAUAAUAAAUAAAUAAAUAAAUAAAACUUACAUUUUUUGGGAUUUCCCAUUUGGUUGAGUAGCAACACCAUCAUACAUCUUCAAAAUCUGGAGUGAGGAGAUGCUUAAAAACAAGACGUAUGUGCAACAAAAACAAACUCAAAAAAUGCAAAACUACAUGAAAUGAGAAAUCUAUAGAUUGAAUGUGCCAUCAGUAAUUGCUUCGAGUAACUUUGUAAAUAGAAAGAAGAACGUAUAAAACAAAGGGAAAUAGAGAAUGGAAAGGCUACAAAAAGACGACUAAAAAAAAAAUUAAGUUAUAAGGGGAAAAAUGCACAGAAGAAACAGGGUAUCUUAGACAAACCAAUAAGGAAAAAAACAAAUUUUGAUUUUCUGCCACUUACACUGCUACUUCUGAAUCAAGAGGAUUUGGUGAAUAAUUUCCCACUUCACAUUCCAAUGAUGAAGAAACUACUAAAGUAAAGGUCAAUGUCAAUUAAGUUGGUUGGAUCAGGCUACUACGAACUUUCCAGGCAACAUCCUUUACUCCUAAAAAUUUACCACCAGAAACAAAUAAGUAAAUUGUAAUCAUGUAAGUUGUUUAUGAUACUGUACUACAAGUCUAAAUCUAUUUUUUACAGAUAACCCAUUAAGCAAACCUAAACAAUUCUACAUUGCCUUGCAAGUUGAUGUAGAAGAAUUGAAGGAGAACUUAAUUAUCUCAACUUCCGAUCAUGCCAAAUGUUUGAAUCCUUGAUGGCCAUCUUUGUAAUGAAGUCACCUUGUAAAAAUUAUGAAUCAUAUGUCUGAUUGAAUAAGUAGACAUAAAAAGGAAUAAAACAAUAUAAUAUGAGGAAAGGGGAAAAAAAAAUCCAGAGUUCCUAUAAGUUAGUGUUAUCUUUAGAAAAAGGGGGGGGGGGGGGGGGGGGGAUUCUGUUUUCCCUUAAGAGGUCAAAAAGGUCAAAAGAUUAUUAUUAGAUUGGUUAUACUUGAUAGCGUUGAGUAUGUAGUUUGAUGAACGUGCGAACAUUCUAAACGUGGCACCCGUUAGUCAGGGACAUAAUCUGGGUAGACUUGAGAAGAUUCAUAUCCACAGACAAAGCAAGGGCAAACCAUAACUAGGGUGGUUUAUUGAGCUGCAACAGUUCUUGGCUUUAAAUCUUCAAGUAGAUCUGCAAGAUUUAUUAUUGAUGUUGUUCAUGACAAAAAAUACUAAAUCUUUUAACCAAAUCACUAACGAAAAUACAACUAAUAAUAAACCAUAGCAAACCAAUAUCAAUGUCAGCUUGAAAGCUGCCUCACACAUUGCCACCUACAAACAAGAACGAUGAUCCAGAGAUUAUAAACCUGCAUUAAAUUUCCUAGUGCCUUUCAAGUUAAAUUCUAUGAUCAGUUUGAAAUAUCAACAGACAAAAGUUAUAUCUCAGGAUGAAGUCAAGAUCCUUUCCUAUCAAAGACUGAAGCCGCAUUAAAUUGGAAUGAUUGAACUUACAUCAAGAAGCAAACACCGCAGUCUAACACCAAACAUUCAGCAUUUUAAAAUAUUUACAAAUUUAGAAUUACCAAAUCUAACCCGAGGGGUAGCUCAGUUCUCCAAUGGUCACCAAUUCGAGUCAGGGUCAUUGAGGUGAGUACCGGCUGUAAACUUGAGAGCCCGUGGCCCGUGGAAUUAGUGGGAUGUGCAAAAAAAAAAAAAUGAAUAAAAAAAAUAAAAAAAAAUAAAAGAAAAAGAAGAAGAAGAAGAAGAAGAAGAAAAAAAUAAAAGGAAAAAGAAGUACCAAAUCCAGACCCUUCCCAACAUCCCUCAUCACUACUAAAAGUUGCAGGAUUGUUAAAUUUUCAUAUCCUAAUUUCUGAUUAUAGGCAAAGAAAUUAACCCCCCACUAAUGUCAGAUUAUAGAAAGUGAGAAACCAAUUAUUAUAAGACCUAAAGGAAGAGGAUGUAUCUGAUCAGAAUAACUAGCAAUCCUGUAGAUCAGUUCUCUAUGCAGAACAAGAGAAACGAUAAAUAUGAUGUAAAAGGUAAGAAGAAGAUUAACAUUGUAUCAUCGCCAACCAAAAAUAUCCAUCCUAGAAUUAACAUUGUAUCAUCGCCAACCAAAAAUCUCCAUCCUAGAAUAGAAAAAAAUGUAGUAUACAAACAUAAUUCCAGCAAAACCUCAGGAAUCAAACAUCCAGCAUUUUAAAAUCGUUACAACUAUAGAAUUACCAAUACCAAAUCCAGAUCCUUCCCGUCAUAUCCUUCUUGAUCACUAAAAUUGCAGGAUUGUCAAAUUUUCAUAUCUUAAUUCCGAAAUACAGUCAAAGAAAUUAUAGAGAAAGUGAAAAUCAAAACCACAUAUUAUAAGAUCAAAUGAAAGAAGACGUAACUCUACCUGAUCAGAAUCACUAGCAAUCCUGUAGAUCAGUUCUCUAUGUAGAACAAGGAAAACCAUAAACACGCCGUAAAAGGGAAGAAGAAAAUUAACGUUGAAUCAUCACCAAACAAAAAUCUCCAUCCUAGAAUAGAAAAAAAUGUGUAUAAAGAGUAGACGUAAUUGUAGGAAAACCUCAAGAAUCGGCAAUAAGAUUUCGCUUCUCUUCCUCCUGAUGAAUAAGCCCCUGAUCAGAAUCUAAAUACCAGCAAUUAAAAAUUCACCAACAUAAGAUUCAUCAACUAAUCCCAAAACCAAUUAAACAGAAUCACACCAAUCAAUCCACCAAAGGAGAUCAAUAGAAAUUGAACCACAAGAUAAAACCACCACACGAAUAAAGCGAAAUACGAUAGUGAUCAAAAGAAUGUGGGUGGUAUUUAUAGAGGUGCUGCCGAAGAAUACGUGGCUGUGAUUAAUAGGGGCAACUUGAUCCAACGGUAAAUAUGAUCCUUAUCCUUUAGAGCUUAGGGAACAUAUUUAAUUAUAUUUUUCCAUUGGAUUCGGUCAGUUAUGGGCGGUUGCAUUUGGUGGCCACACACGUACACGUCAAUAACUGUGGGCUAUUACUAUCCACACGUUUUAUAUUCCCGCUUUUAAUUUUAAAGAAUACGAGCUUGUUUGGUACAACUUAAAAGUUAAUUAAAAUUAAUUUUUUGAUUAUUAUUUCAUUAUUUCAGUCAUUAUUUUUAAAUUCUUCCCUCACACAGAAAGGACCCACUUUAUCUCUAAUGGUCAAAAAAUCUUAUAAAAAUCCGUAUUAAACAAGUACUAUAUUCGUUAUUCCUUUUAGUGCUAAAUAAAAACGUAUUAGCAAUCUAAACCCGUCUGGUGGUGAUUAUAAUCAAGAUUUUAAUAGAUUUUAAUAAAAUUUGAUGAAUUGUAUAAUUUGUAAAAUCUCUAAAAUAUAUGGUUAAAACUAAUUUUUGACUUUAACUUAAAUCAAAAUUUUAAUUUUAAUUCAAACCAAACAUGGUUUAACACUGGUUUUAUUUAUUUCAAAAUAAUUAUUUUUAGUAAUUUUGAUUCCAUGCUUCUUGCAAACCAAGUCAGUAGACCUGUCUAUGGAUUCGAUUCCUACCUCUCACAUUCAACUACGGCUUAGUUAAAAAACUUAACUAAUAAAAAAUUAAUUAUUUACAUAUUUAUUCAAGGUUAAUUUUAUUCACGAUCACUAUACUUUGAUCCAAUUUUUAUUGACCAGACCAAUAUGUGUUAAUUGGGUGACUAUAUUUUAAUGGGUAAUUAUUCACACCAUAACUUUUAUUUUAUUUUACCACAUUUUAAUUAUAAUUAAGGUUUUUAAUUUUUGCUCAUUAUAACACUUAUAUCCCUAAUAAUUUUUCAUGUCAUUCUUAUCAUCAAACUUUCAUUAAUUUAACACAUUUUACAUUUGAUAACCAGCAGCAAAGCUAGAAUAUUUUAUUUCGGUGGGCAAAAAUUAUAUAGCAAAAAUAAUUAUAAAUAAUAUAAUUCUUCUCCUAAUUAGGCCUUAGGGUGACUUCGUUUGGGUCGAUUUCGACUCCAACCUAAAAUCAAAGCCAAAUUAGUCAGUUUGAGUGAAUUUCAAUCCAAUCAAUCCACUCCUAACUCUUAAACCGAAUCAAAAAUCGAUUUGGUUUGAUUUGGUUUGGUUCGGUUAGGUUAGGACUUUUUGUUCAAAUUGAUUUUUUUAAAAAAAAUUAUUCGAGUUUUGGGCUUACUUAGAUUACAAGAACUAAAAUAAUCAAAUAAUUUCAUAUUAUCAAAAAUAUUGACUAACAAAUAAUAUCAGGUUAAUAGAGACUGAUCAACAGAAAACUUAAAAAAACUUUUUUCUAUUAUUUAGUUUGAUUGUCUGAGUAAGGAAAAAUAUUAAGCUCCCGUUUGAUCCCCAUUAAAUUAAAUUACAUUACAUUACAUUUUUCUUUCUCCUAUUUUCAAUUACAAAUCUUCUAUAAAAUAAUAUUACACGUAAAUCGAAAAUUUUUCCUCUUUUUUCAAUCACUCAUUUUUUUCAAAAAUACUAUUCCCCCAAUUUCAGUUUUAGGUAAUGGGGUCAAACGGGGGCUAAGUAUAACAUAAUGAGCCUGUGAAAGGAAAUACUCAGUGUUAUUACUUAUCGGCAAUAUCAUAGAUUGGAGGAAAUCGAGAUAUAGUUAUGAAAUUAUGAGCUUAUCUGUUGAUUUUUAUUUUCUUAAAAUGAAAAAGGUAAACAUGUAAUUGGGUUGGGUUGGUUUAGUUAACCAACGGUUUGAGACUUCAAACCAUGACUGAAUUAACUUACCAUGGUGUUGUUUAAGAGAAUACAAAAAAAAAAAAAAAAACAAAAAAACAAAAAACCAAUUACUUGUGUCAAACCGACCCGAGCCAACACAAGUCAGUUUAAUUUAAUUGGUUUUUCGAUUUUUUUGCCCAAGCUUAUUCCUAAUCUACAGGUCCACCUGUUAACCAAACUAUAGAUUGCACUUGCAAGGAGAGACGUGGCUACUGACUUAUAAGGUUGCCUAAAUGUUUUGGGUUAAAUGUUAGCAAACAAUUUAAAAUUUCUUUUCGGGUGGAAGAAGAGGAAAAAAUAGUAUUUCGUUCGGCGAACAGGGGCUCCAUCAAAUAUGAUGGUAAAUUUAAGGAAAUACAUAAAACAUUGCCAUAUAAUCUGCUACCUUAUUUGAAAAUAAUUCCUUGAAACACACAUACAUAUACACACUCAGCAACAUCAACAAGAACAACAGAGUUGAGAUUGUACUUUCUAGCUAAAAAUGGUGAAAUGAUAUAUUCUCAUCACACCAAAUUAUAAUCUUACGCUGGUAAUGCCGUGUUAAUCAAUAAGUAAUAGAACUACAAAAACAAUUUCGCAUUCUUCUUUGAGAGAUUUUUCGACGUUUUGAGUUGGAAUUCAAUGCUAGUCUAUUAUCAUAUUAUGAGUCAACGUUUGUAUUUUACCUUUCUUUAUCUUCUCUAGAGAAAACCUUCCUUUUUAUCUUCUUUAAUCACUGAAUCACAAGCACAAAAAUUAUAAAAAUAUUACAGAAAUGGAUACAAAUAAAUAAGAUAAAGAGCUUAAUGGACUGAUUUGUUGAACUCACCUUCCUUUCGAUUGGAAUCACAUUUACAAGACAUUUGAGAAAGAGAGAAGAAGAUUACAUGGGUAGAGUCUAAGCUAUUUAAAAUUGGAAUGAGGAGAAUUCUACGUCCAUCUCAUAGUGAUUCUUUUACUUUUUUAUUUUUUCAAAUUUAAAAAAACAGAAAUUUUGGAUGUGCCACUGACCACUCUUGCCAUAUGUGCCUUUGCCCCAUGUUGAUAAUAGUUUAUGUCCAAAAAUCCGUUAAAAUAACAUAAAUAAAUAAAUUAAAACUGCGAAAAAAGUAUUUUUUCCUCACUUCAAAGCACAAAAACCACAAAAAAGAAUAUUUGUUUAUAUAAAUCAUCAUCAAGGACAAGAUGUUGAAGAUUGAAGAUAAGAAUUUAAUGAAAUUUUUUUUAAAAAUAAUUGCUACAAUGACAAAAAUUGAGGAGUUUAACUGCAAUUAAAAUGUGGUGUAUCAAAUUGUUGUAGCAAUAAUUUUAUAUCGAUUUAAACAUAAUGCUUUAAUAUACAUACACACCAAAAUGGGCCCAGGUGGUGAGAAUAGUAGAUUUGAAAGAUAUCCAAACACUUAAUCUGGAAUUGAAGAAUAAUAUUUAUUGAAGAUGAAAGUUUUUUGAUACAAUAACUUAAUAAAAGAACAUUUAACCCUUGUUUGAGCGCCAUUCUUGCAAAAUAAUAAUAAUAAUAAUAAUAAUAAUAAUAAUAAAUAAAUAAAUAAAUACAUUUUUGAAUAGUGUACUAAAAGAAAAUUUGUAAUUAAAAAAUAAGGAAAAUUUUUAGAUUUGUGUGUAAUAUUAUUUUAUUGAAAAAUAUGUGGUUGAGUGGGGUCAAAUCAUUGUUGAAAAAUGUAUUUUUAUGAAAAAUGGGGUUCAAACAAGGACUUAGAUUACAAGAAAAUCUAUGCUUUUUUGAAGAGGUUUUUAUUGCGCUAAAAAACUCUUGGCAAAAUCUUGAAUCUUGAUCUCUAUUUAUAUUUAAAUUCAAGGUUCAUAUUUGAAAUCUUCUAAGCUGUAUUGAAAGAAUCUUGAACGGUAUUGAUAAUGUUUUGUCGACUAUAUGUCAUUUGUCAACAUCUUCUUUUUUAAAUAAUGGUAUUACUUUUGUAAAGUAACUUUAAUAAAAUUGAUUAAAAUGAAAUCUCCUAGGGUUGGCAAUGGGUCAAGUCGAGUUGGCUCGGCCCUUAAUACCACGAGCUCGACUCGUGCUCGUGGCGACAAUGAGCCGAGCUUGGCCCACGAGCUUGUGGCUCGUCCGAGCUCGUGGGUCAAGCCGAGCUUCGGCUCGUGGGCUCGCCUACUUUUUUUUUAAUAUAUAAAAUAAAGAAUAGAGUUUUAAAAAUAAAAAGUGUUAAAAAAUACAAAUAAUUUAACGAAAAUAAAUUUUUAUUUUUUUUAUUUAUAUCAUAUUGUAAUUUAUAAUAUUUUUUAUAAGGUAUAAAAUAUUUAUAUAAUGAAAACGAAUUAUUUUUUGAAAUACAUUUACAAAAAAUAUAUUUUUUGAUUUCUUUUUAAAGUUAAUAAAGAAUAGAGUUUUAAAAAUAAGAAGUGUUUAAAAAUACAAAUAAUUUAACGAGAACAAGUUUUUAUUUUUUUUAUUUACAUCAUAUUGUAAUUUGUAAUACUUUUUAUAAAGUAUAAAAUAUUUACAAAUUUAGAAUUACCAAAUCUAACCCGAGGGGUAGCUCAGUUCUUCAAUGGUCACCAAUUCGAGUCCGGGUCAUUGAGGUGAGUACCGGCUGUAAACUUGAAAGCCCGUGGCCCGUGGAAUUAGUGGGAUGUGCCAAAAAAAAAAAAGAAGAAGAAGAAAAAUAAAGAAAAAGAAAAAAGAAAAAAGAAAAAAAAGAAAAGGAAAAAGAAUUACCAAAUCCAGACCCUUCCCAACAUCCCUCUUCAUCACUAAAAGUUGCAGGAUUGUUAAAUUUUCAUAUCCUAAUUUCUAAUUAUAGGCAAAGAAAUUAACCCCCCACUAAUGUCAGAUUAUAGAGAGUGAGAAACCAAUUAUUAUAAGACCUAAAGGAAGAGGAUGUAUCUGAUCAGAAUAACUAGCAAUCCUGUAGAUCAGUUCUCUAUGCAGAACAAGAGAAACGAUAAAUAUGAUGUAAAAGGUAAGAAGAAGAUUAACAUUGUAUCAUCGCCAACCAAAAAUCUCCAUCCUAGAAUAG
rnacentral:lncRNA from 1 species